rnacentral:rRNA from 1 species
UCUGGCGGCUUUAGCGCGGUGGUCCCACCUGACCCCAUGCCGAACUCAGAAGUGAAACGCCGUAGCGCCGAUGGUAGUGUGGGGACUC